UACGUAGGGUCCGAGCGUUGUCCGGAAUUACUGGGCGUAAAGAGCUCGUAGGUGGUUUGUCGCGUUGUUCGUGAAAACUCACAGCUUAACUGUGGGCGUGCGGGCGAUACGGGCAGACUUGAGUACUGCAGGGGAGACUGGAAUUCCUGGUGUAGCGGUGGAAUGCGCAGAUAUCAGGAGGAACACCGGUGGCGAAGGCGGCCUGCUGGGCUAUGGCUGACACUGAGGCGCGACAGCGUGGGGAGCAAACAGG
rnacentral:rRNA from 1 species